GUUCCUGUAGCGUACUGAAUAGCGCGUUGGACUUCUAAUCCAAAGGUCGUGGGUUGGAACUCCACCUGUGAUG
rnacentral:tRNA from 1 species